rnacentral:rRNA from 1 species
AUUGAACGCUGGCGGCAGGCCUAACACAUGCAAGUCGAGCGGUAGCACAGAGAGCUUGCUCUCGGGUGACGAGCGGCGGACGGGUGAGUAAUGUCUGGGAAACUGCCUGAUGGAGGGGGAUGACUACUGGAAACGGUAGCUAAUACCGCAUAAUGUCGCAAGACCAAAGUGGGGGACCUUCGGGCCUCAUGCCAUCAGAUGUGCCCAGAUGGGAUUAGCUAGUAGGUGGGGUAACGGCUCACCUAGGCGACGAUCCCUAGCUGGUCUGAGAGGAUGACCAGCCACACUGGAACUGAGACACGGUCCAGACUCCUACGGGAGGCAGCAGUGGGGAAUAUUGCACAAUGGGCGCAAGCCUGAUGCAGCCAUGCCGCGUGUGUGAAGAAGGCCUUCGGGUUGUAAAGCACUUUCAGCGGGGAGGAAGGCGGUGAGGUUAAUAACCUCAUCGAUUGACGUUACCCGCAGAAGAAGCACCGGCUAACUCCGUGCCAGCAGCCGCGGUAAUACGGAGGGUGCAAGCGUUAAUCGGAAUUACUGGGCGUAAAGCGCACGCAGGCGGUCUGUCAAGUCGGAUGUGAAAUCCCCGGGCUCAACCUGGGAACUGCAUUCGAAACUGGCAGGCUAGAGUCUUGUAGAGGGGGGUAGAAUUCCAGGUGUAGCGGUGAAAUGCGUAGAGAUCUGGAGGAAUACCGGUGGCGAAGGCGGCCCCCUGGACAAAGACUGACGCUCAGGUGCGAAAGCGUGGGGAGCAAACAGGAUUAGAUACCCUGGUAGUCCACGCCGUAAACGAUGUCGAUUUGGAGGUUGUGCCCUUGAGGCGUGGCUUCCGGAGCUAACGCGUUAAAUCGACCGCCUGGGGAGUACGGCCGCAAGGUUAAAACUCAAAUGAAUUGACGGGGGCCCGCACAAGCGGUGGAGCAUGUGGUUUAAUUCGAUGCAACGCGAAGAACCUUACCUGGUCUUGACAUCCACAGAACUUUCCAGAGAUGGAUUGGUGCCUUCGGGAACUGUGAGACAGGUGCUGCAUGGCUGUCGUCAGCUCGUGUUGUGAAAUGUUGGGUUAAGUCCCGCAACGAGCGCAACCCUUAUCCUUUGUUGCCAGCGGUUAGGCCGGGAACUCAAAGGAGACUGCCAGUGAUAAACUGGAGGAAGGUGGGGAUGACGUCAAGUCAUCAUGGCCCUUACGACCAGGGCUACACACGUGCUACAAUGGCAUAUACAAAGAGAAGCGACCUCGCGAGAGCAAGCGGACCUCAUAAAGUAUGUCGUAGUCCGGAUUGGAGUCUGCAACUCGACUCCAUGAAGUCGGAAUCGCUAGUAAUCGUAGAUCAGAAUGCUACGGUGAAUACGUGUCCCGGGCCU